GUUGAGGCUCAUUAUAGUCGACAAACAAUUUGUUUGCUUUGAGAUAGGCCUCUAUCAUUGCCACAGUCUCGUCACUUCUUCCAGUUAGUUUGAGGUAUUGUAAUGUUACAUGAUCUACCGGGAAGAAACCCAUGGUUGCUCCAUAUUCAGGAGACAUAUUGGCAAUAGUGGCCCUAUCAGCUAAUGAUAAUUCACCCAUACCAUUGCCAUGAAAUUCAACAAAUUUCCCUACAACACCAUGUUUCCUAAGAAUUUGUGUGACAGUUAGAACCAAAUCAGUUGCUGUAACACCAUUGCGCAAUUUUCCAGACAACUUGAACCCAACAACACCAGGUAACACCAUACUCAUUGGCUGGCCAAGCAUUGCUGCCUUACAGUAACUGGUAUUGCAGCGGCUGCUCUAGUUUCAUUUGCUUGUUGCCUCAAAUCCUGUCUGAUUUUCACAUAAUUAUUUUGCAGUAACUUUGCUGCAGUGACAAGGGUUGAACGUGCUUACAGGUCGGACGUUACAACUCUAUUGUGCAGGCUGAUGCAAGUUAGUGUAGGAUGCUUACAAGGCAAUGUUAAGUGUUUUCCGCUCCUGAAUUCCUUUGCUGCUGUUAUGCCUUGAUAUUAUUUUGCGACACCCGGUCAUGAGGUCUCUUUGGUCCCGAGAUACAUGGUUCGACUUCGUCAAGAUUUAAUUCAAGAUAGGAAGAAUAAGCUCUGUCUUGUUGAGGCUCAUUAUAGUCGACAAACAAUUUGUUUGCUCUGAGAUAGGCCUCUAUCAUUGCCACAGUCUCGUCACUUCUUCCAGUUAGUUUGAGGUAUUGUAAUGUUACAUGAUCUACCGGGAAGAAACCCAUGGUUGCUCCAUAUUCAGGAGACAUAUUGGCAAUAGUGGCCCUGUCAGCUAAUGAUAAUUCACCCAUACC
rnacentral:lncRNA from 1 species